rnacentral:rRNA from 1 species
GACGAACGCUGGCGGCGUGCCUAAUACAUGCAAGUAGAACGCUGAAGGAGGAGCUUGCUUCUCCGGAUGAGUUGCGAACGGGUGAGUAACGCGUAGGUAACCUGCCUGGUAGCGGGGGAUAACUAUUGGAAACGAUAGCUAAUACCGCAUAAGAGUAGAUGUCGCAUGACAUUUGCUUAAAAGGUGCAACUGCACCACUACCAGAUGGACCUGCGUUGUAUUAGCUAGUUGGUGAGGUAACGGCUCACCAAGGCAACGAUACAUAGCCGACCUGAGAGGGUGAUCGGCCAAACUGGGACUGGGACACGGCCCAGACUCCUACGGGAGGCAGCAGGAGGGAAUCUUCGGCAAUGGACGGAAGUCUGACCGAGCAACGCCGCGUGGGUGAAGAAGGUUGUCGGAUCGUAAAGCUCUGUUGUAAGAGAAGAACGAGUGGGAGAGUGGAAAGUUCACACUGUGACGGUAUCUUACCAGAAAGGGACGGCUAACUACGUG